UUCUUUCUUCAUUCAUUCAUUCAUGUAUUAUAUUAUUAUUAUUAUUAUAUAUAAUAUAAUAAAAUAUAAUAUAAUAGUAUGAUAAUAGUAGUAUUCAUCAAUUUAU
rnacentral:ribozyme from 17 species